UCAAAUCAGGUAGGACUACCCGCUGAACUUAAGCAUAUCAAUAAGCGGAGGAAAAGAAACUAACAAGGAUUCCCCUAGUAACUGCGAGUGAAGCGGGAAAAGCUCAAAUUUGAAAUCUGGCAGUUUUCAACU
rnacentral:rRNA from 1 species